AGGAUGAACGCUAGCUACAGGCUUAACACAUGCAAGUCGAGGGGCAGCAUGGGAUAGCUUGCUAUUCAGAUGGCGACCGGCGCACGGGUGAGUAACGCGUAUCCAACCUUCCUGCCAGUAGGGAACAGCCCGGCGAAAGUCGGAUUAAUGCCCUAUGUUCUUCAAUGCGGACAUCUAAGUUGAAGGAAAGAUUCAUCGCUGGCAGAUGGGGAUGCGUCCGAUUAGCUUGCCGGCGGGGUAACGGCCCACCGGGGCGACGAUCGGUAGGGGUUCUGAGAGGAAGGUCCCCCACACUGGUACUGAGACACGGACCAGACUCCUACGGGAGGCAGCAGUGAGGAAUAUUGGUCAAUGGGCGUAAGCCUGAACCAGCCAAGUAGCGUGCAAGGAUGACGGCCCUACGGGUUGUAAACUGCUUUUAUGCGGGGAUAAAGUGCGGCACGUGUGCCGCUUUGCAGGUACCGCAUGAAUAAGGACCGGCUAAUUCCGUGCCAGCCGCUGC
rnacentral:rRNA from 1 species